rnacentral:lncRNA from 1 species
CCGGCUAUGGGUCCCGGCUAUGGGUCCCAGGGUGAGUCCUGGCUAUGGGUCCCAGCUAUGGGUCCUGGUGUGGGUCCUGGCUAUUGAUCCCAGCUGUGGGUCCCACCUAUGGAUCCCAGCUGUAGGUCCCAGCUAUGGGUCCCAGUGUGGGUCCCGGCUAUGGAUCCCAGCUAUGGGUCCCAGCUGUGGGUCCCGGCUAUGGGUCCCGGCUAUGGGUCCCGGUGUGGGUCCCGGUGUGGGUCCUGGCUAUGGGUCCCGGCUAUGGGUCGCGGUGUGGGUCCGGCACGCACCGGCGGUUGGCAGCUGCCCGUUGUCGGCCAUGUCCCAGCGCUCCUCCUUGCGCCGCGCGCCGCUGACGAUGACGUAGUCGCAGCCGGCGGGGUCGGUCUGCAGCUCGAUGUGGUUGACGCACAGGUGGCACUUCAUG